rnacentral:rRNA from 1 species
CAGUCGCCGCGGGAAUACAGAGGGUGCGAGCGUUAAUCGGAUUUACUGGGCGUAAAGCGUGCGUAGGCGGCUUCUUAAGUCGGAUGUGAAAUCCCUGAGCUUAACUUAGGAAUUGCAUUCGAUACUGGGAAGCUAGAGUAUGGGAGAGGAUGGUAGAAUUCCAGGUGUAGCGGUGAAAUGCGUAGAGAUCGGAAGGAACAUCUGUGGCGAAGGCGACUAUCUGGGCCAACACUGACACUGAGGCACGAAAGCGUGGGGAGCAAACAGGAUUAGAUACCCCUGUAGUCCCUGUCUCUUAUAC